rnacentral:rRNA from 1 species
CCUACGGGAGGCAGCAGUGGGGGAUAUUGUACAAUGGGGGAAACCCUGAUGCAGCGACGCCGCGUGAGUGAAGAAGUAUUUCGGUAUGUAAAGCUCUAUCAGCCGGGAAGAAAAUGACAGUACCUGACCAAGAAGCCCCGGCUAACUACGUGCCAGCAGGCGCGGUAAUACGGAGGGAGCAAGCGUUAUCCGGAUGUACUGGGUGUAAAGGGAGCGUAGACGGGUAUGUAAGUCUGGAGUGAAAGCCCUGGGGCCAACCCCGGGACUGCGUUGGAAACUGUGUAACUGGAGUAAAGGAGGGGCAGGCGGAAUGCCUGGUGUAGCGGUGAAAUGCGUAGAUAUCAGGAGGAACACCGGCGGCGAAGGCAGCCUGCUGGAGGGAAACUGACGUUGAGGCUCGAAAGCGUGGGGAGCGAACAGGAUUAGAUACCCGAGUAGUC